rnacentral:tRNA from 1 species
CGUUUGUUAAUUCACACAAAUGUGAAUCUAGAUUUAACAUACCUAUAAUUUGAUAUGCAGAUGCC